CCUACGGGCGGCAGCAGUGGGGAAUAUUGGUCAAUGGGCGCAAGCCUGACCCAGCACCGCCGCGUGCAGGAAGAAGGCUUUCGGGUUUUCAACUUCUUUUAUCAGGGACGAAGCACGUGACGUUACCUGAUGAAUAAACGACUGCUAACUACGUGCCAGCGGCCACUGUAAUACGUAGGUGGCAAGCGUUAUCCGGAUUUACGGGUUUUAAAGGGCUUGUAGGCGGGAGUGCAAGUCAGAUGUGAAAACUAUGGGCUCAACCCAUAGCCUGCAUCUGAAACUGUACUUCUUGAGUGCUGGUGAGGAAAUCGGAAUUCCGUGUGUAGCGGUGAAAUGCGUAGAGAU
rnacentral:rRNA from 1 species